AAAGCGAGGCGGAGAGGAUCCGGCAGUUGGGUUCUGCGACAGAGGCCUGCUGGGAUCUCACGAGAGGCGGAGAGCGAACCUCAGGCCUAAAACCUUUCUCGCGACGAGAAAAGACCCUCCCGACAACAGCAGGAUGUGGGGACUCGGAGCCACAGGGAAAUGCGCUCUGAGAAUAACUUCGGGAGGGGCGAGGAUGGGCUGGCCUCCCGAGGGCUGCGGCCGCCCCUGGAGCAGAGGACGCAACCACGAGGGCCUUUGGGCGGUGACAGCCCUUCGGCGGGAAGACAAGGAGCCUCCUAGUGGAGCCGCGGGGCGCUCCCGACCCCACUGCGGCGCGAGGGCUGUGACUGGGCUGUUCCAGUUUCAGGAUCCCUUUGAAGCUCCAAACUCCAGGCCUCCUACCGCCUACUCAGUCAUCACGGGAUAAAGUGCGGUCCGGGUGGGAGUCUUUCGGUGAGCAGAAGUGAAAGGCCGCAGAGAAGAGUACGGGCUUCCCGAGACCCUCAAGGGUAACUUGGUGACGCACGGGCAGAUGUCGAUGGCCUUGAAGAUUUGGGGGAAAUGACCAAUGUGCAAAUCAGCUUAAAAUCCAGAAAGAAGGGAGCUUUAAAGGAAAAUAGUCACUCUCGCUACCCCUGUCCAGGAAGAAGAGUGCUGAUCUGCAGCUUCCAUUCCGCUAGACUGGAGAGUGGGGGCUGCCUGAUCCAAGCCCAGCCAGUGUCUGUCUCCCCAAGCAUUCCUGGAUUGGUAUGAUUCCCGACUACGUUUUUUA